UAUUUCUGAAGUUCUGCUGCUUG
rnacentral:misc_RNA from 1 species